CACGCCCACCCGGGACACGCCCACCCGGGACACGCCCACUAUGGACAAGCCCAUCCCCUCUCAGGCCACGCCCACCCUGACCGUGGCCACGCCCACAUUGGACCCACUCAGACCACGCCCACAUUACCCAAACCCACCCAGGCCACGCCCACCCUGACCACACCCACACCCAUAUGCCCACCCCCACCUGACCACGCCCACCCUGACCACACCCACCCAGACCACGCCCACAUUGGCCACACCCACCCAGACCACGCCCACAUUGACCACACCCGCCUGACCACGCCCACACUGACCACACUGAAAAUGGCCACUCCCACCUUGACCACGCCCACACUGACCACACCCAUUGGCCACCCAUGUUGCCCACACCCAACCAGGCCACGCCCACAAUCACCCUGACCACGCCCACAGUGACCACACCCACCCAUGCCACGCCCAUUGGCCACACCAACCUGACCACUCCCACCUUGACCACGCCCACAUUGACCACACCCAUUGACCACCCAUGUUGCCCACACCCACCCAGGCCACGCCCAUUGGUCACACCCACCUGACCACGCCCACACUGACCACACCCAUUGACCACCUAUGUUGCCCACACCCACCCAGACCACGCCUACACUGACCACUCCCACACUGACCACUCCCACAUUGACCACACCCCAAGCCACGCCCACAAUGACCACACCCACCAAGACCAUGCCCAGUGGUCACACCCAUCAUGGCCACGCCCACAGGUAUCCUGGCUACGCCCACAAUGACCACACCCACAUUGACCACACCCAUUGACCACCCAUGUUGCCCACACCCACCCAGACCACGCCCACAAUGACCACACCCACCCAGGCCACGCCCAUUGGCCACGACCACACUGACAAUGGCCACUCCCACCUUGACCACACCCACCACAAUGACCACACCCAUUGACCACCCAUGUUGCCCACACCCAACCAGACCACGCCCACAUUGACCACACCCACACUGACCACUCCCACAUCCAAAGCCACGCCCACAAUGACCACACCCAUAGUGGCCACACCCAUCAUGGCCACGCCCAGUCACCCUGACCACGCCCAUUGGCCACACCCACAAUGACCACACCCAUUGGCCACCCAUGUUGCCCACACCCAACCAGACCACACCCACACUGACCACACCCAUCAUGACCACGCCCACAAUGACCACACCCCAAGCCACACCCACACUGACCACACCCAUCAUGGCCACGCCUACAGCCACCCUGACCACGCCCAUUGGCCACACCCACAAUGACCCCACCCAUUGACUACCCAUGUUGCCCACACCCAACCAGACCACGCCCAUUGGCCACACCUACCCUGACC
rnacentral:lncRNA from 1 species